rnacentral:rRNA from 1 species
UACGGAGGGAGCUAGCGUUGUUCGGAAUUACUGGGCGUAAAGCGCGCGUAGGCGGCUUUGUAAGUUAGAGGUGAAAGCCUGGAGCUCAACUUCAGAAUUGCCUUUAAGACUGCAUCGCUUGAAUCCGGGAGAGGUGAGUGGAAUUCCGAGUGUAGAGGUGAAAUUCGUAGAUAUUCGGAAGAACACCAGUGGCGAAGGCGGCUCACUGGACCGGCAUUGACGCUGAGGUGCGGAAGCGUGGGGAGCAAACAGG